GUCAAGGGCAACUGACAAGCUACUCGGAGGAGGCUGCAAAAAUAAUAACAACGUGGGGACAAUUAUGACCACAAGUCAAGGUGCACAAACCACACAGAUGCGUGGCCUGGCAGCACUCGUUCCUGCCCGUCCUCUCCUACUGCCUACGCCUCUACAACAAGAUCUGGACAUCUUAGGAGUGAAAUCUGAAAAACCACAUCACAGAGAGCAGAAGCAGCUUUCAAAGCCACAGUAUAAUCAGCAAAUCAAGCUUUCCCUUAGGCUAACAGCCUGUGCAGGAUUUAUUGACAGAGGGGAGAGGACACUUGCCUGCCUAUUGC